rnacentral:rRNA from 1 species
AACGCGAAGAACCUUACCAGGGUUUGACAUCUCCGGACAGUCCGUGAAAGCGGAUCUUCCCCGCAAGGGGACUGGAAGACAGGUGUUGCAUGGUUGUCGUCAGCUCGUGUCGUGAGAUGUUGGGUUAAGUCCCGCAACGAGCGCAACCCCCAUCUUCAGUUGCCAGCGGUUUGGCCGGGCACUCUGAAGAAACUGCCGGUGACAAGCCGGAGGAAGGCGGGGAUGACGUCAAGUCCUCAUGGCCCUUAUGGGCUGGGCUACACACGUGCUACAAUGGCGGUGACAGAGGGCGGCGCGGCAGCGAUGCCUAGCCAAUCUCGAAAAGCCGUCUCAGUUCGGAUUGCUCUCUGCAACUCGGGAGCAUGAAGUCGGAAUCGCUAGUAAUCGCGGAUCAGCAUGCCGCGGUGAAUACGUUCCCGGGCCUUGUACACACCGAGACGAC